GAGUCGAGAGGGUUCGGCCCUCGGCAGACUGCACAGUAACACGCGGAGAACCUGCCCUAAGGCGGAGGAUAAUCUCGGGAAACUGAGGCUAAUACUCCAUAGAUCAUGGAAGCUGGAAUGCUCCGUGGUCGAAAGCUCCGGCGCCUUAGGAUGGCUCUGCGGCCUAUCAGGUUGUCGGGAGGGUCAUGGCCUCCCGAUCCGUCGACGGGUACGGGCGUUGAGAGACGUAGCCCGGAGAUGGAGUCUGAGACACGACUCCAGGCCCUACGGGGCGCAGCAGGCGCGAAAACUUCGCAAUGCGGGCGACCGCGACGAGGGAACUCCCAGUGCCGGCGCAGAGCGUCGGUUGUCCCCGAGCGUAAAGUGCUUGGGAUAGCAAGGGCUGGGUAAGACAGGUGCCAGCCGCCGCGGUAACACCUGCAGCCCGAGUGGUCACCGAUGUUAUUGGGCCUAAAGCGUCCGUAGCCGGCUCGGUAAAUGCCUGGGUAAAUCGACGGGCUUAACCUGUCGAAGUCCGGGUAGACUGCUGGGCUUGGGACCGGGAGAAGCCAGAGGUACUCCGGGGGUAGAGGUGAAAUUCCGUAAUCCUCGGGGGACCACCGGUGGUGAAGACGUCUGGCUUGAACGGCUCCGACGGUGAGGGACGAAGCCCUGGGGCGCAAACCGGAUUAGAUACCCGGGUAGUCCAGGGUGUAAACGCUGUGGGGCUUGGUGUCGGGA
rnacentral:rRNA from 1 species